CGCUGAACUUGGGGUGAGGGGGAGCAAACAAAGAACCCUAACCUUGUUUCAACUUCAAUCUAUUGGAGCCCCAUUUGCGGCCACACGACCACCGCGUCGAGUUUUUCGAAAACAUCUGGAUGAAGUGGUGUGCUCUAGUGGUGGAGUUACUGGAUUUUUGCUCCGAUCAUCCGUGAAAACAACAUGACAGAGAAAUCACGGGACAGGGACCGGAUUGAGCUUCUUCUUUUUUGUCGGAGAAGUGCUUAGUCCUUGGAAGAAAUCAUCAAAGACCACAUUGGAUGUU